UACACCCGCACUUUAUCAUGUAGGUAGCCUACACCCGCACUUUAUCAUGUAGGUAGCCUACACCCGCACUUUAUCAUGUAGGUAGCCUACACCCGCACUUUAUCAUGUAGGUAGCCUACACCCGCACUUUAUCAUGUAGGUAGCCUAUACCCGCACUUUAUCAUGUAGGUAGCCUACACCCGCACUUUAUCAUGUAGGUAGCCUACACCCGCACUUUAUCAUGUAGGUAGCCUACACCCGCACUUUAUCAUGUAGGUAGCCUAUACCCGCACUUUAUCAUGUAGGUAGCCUAUACCCGCACUUUAUCAUGUAGGUAGCCUACACCCGCACUUUAUCAUGUAGGUAGCCUAUACCCGCACUUUAUCAUGUAGGUAGCCUAUACCCGCACUUUAUCAUGUAGGUAGCCUACACCCGCACUUUAUCAUGUAGGUAGCCUAUACCCGCACUUUAUCAUGUAGGUAGCCUAUACCCGCACUUUAUCAUGUAGGUAGCCUACACCCGCACUUUAUCAUGUAGGUAGCCUAUACCCGCACUUUAUCAUGUAGGUAGCCUAUACCCGCACUUUAUCAUGUAGGUAGCCUAUACCCGCACUUUAUCAUGUAGGUAGCCUACACCCGCACUUUAUCAUGUAGGUAGCCUAUACCCGCACUUUAUCAUGUAGGUAGCCUACACCCGCACUUUAUCAUGUAGGUAGCCUAUACCCGCACUUUAUCAUGUAGGUAGCCUAUACCCGCACUUUAUCAUGUAGGUAGCCUAUACCCGCACUUUAUCAUGUAGGUAGCCUACACCCGCACUUUAUCAUGUAGGUAGCCUAUACCCGCACUUUAUCAUGUAGGUAGCCUACACCCGCACUUUAUCAUGUAGGUAGCCUAUACCCGCACUUUAUCAUGUAGGUAGCCUACACCCGCACUUUAUCAUGUAGGUAGCCUACACCCGCACUUUAUCAUGUAGGUAGCCUACACCCGCACUUUAUCAUGUAGGUAGCCUACACCCGCACUUUAUCAUGUAGGUAGCCUACACCCGCACUUUAUCAUGUAGGUAGCCUAUACCCGCACUUUAUCAUGUAGGUAGCCUACACCCGCACUUUAUCAUGUAGGUAGCCUACACCCGCACUUUAUCAUGUAGGUAGCCUACACCCGCACUUUAUCAUGUAGGUAGCCUAUACCCGCACUUUAUCAUGUAGGUAGCCUAUACCCGCACUUUAUCAUGUAGGUAGCCUACACCCGCACUUUAUCAUGUAGGUAGCCUAUACCCGCACUUUAUCAUGUAGGUAGCCUACACCCGCACUUUAUCAUGUAGGUAGCCUAUACCCGCACUUUAUCAUGUAGGUAGCCUAUACCCGCACUUUAUCAUGUAGGUAGCCUACACCCGCACUUUAUCAUGUAGGUAGCCUAUACCCGCACUUUAUCAUGUAGGUAGCCUAUACCCGCACUUUAUCAUGUAGGUAGCCUAUACCCGCACUUUAUCAUGUAGGUAGCCUAUACCCGCACUUUAUCAUGUAGGUAGCCUACACCCGCACUUUAUCAUGUAGGUAGCCUAUACCCGCACUUUAUCAUGUAGGUAGCCUACACCCGCACUUUAUCAUGUAGGUAGCCUAUACCCGCACUUUAUCAUGUAGGUAGCCUACACCCGCACUUUAUCAUGUAGGUAGCCUACACCCGCACUUUAUCAUGUAGGUAGCCUAUACCCGCACUUUAUCAUGUAGGUAGCCUAUACCCGCACUUUAUCAUGUAGGUAGCCUAUACCCGCACUUUAUCAUGUAGGUAGCCUACACCCGCACUUUAUCAUGUAGGUAGCCUAUACCCGCACUUUAUCAUGUAGGUAGCCUAUACCCGCACUUUAUCAUGUAGGUAGCCUACACCCGCACUUUAUCAUGUAGGUAGCCUAUACCCGCACUUUAUCAUGUAGGUAGCCUAUACCCGCACUUUAUCAUGUAGGUAGCCUAUACCCGCACUUUAUCAUGUAGGUAGCCUACACCCGCACUUUAUCAUGUAGGUAGCCUAUACCCGCACUUUAUCAUGUAGGUAGCCUAUACCCGCACUUUAUCAUGUAGGUAGCCUAUACCCGCACUUUAUCAUGUAGGUAGCCUACACCCGCACUUUAUCAUGUAGGUAGCCUAUACCCGCACUUUAUCAUGUAGGUAGCCUACACCCGCACUUUAUCAUGUAGGUAGCCUAUACCCGCACUUUAUCAUGUAGGUAGCCUAUACCCGCACUUUAUCAUGUAGGUAGCCUACACCCGCACUUUAUCAUGUAGGUAGCCUAUACCCGCACUUUAUCAUGUAGGUAGCCUACACCCGCACUUUAUCAUGUAGGUAGCCUAUACCCGCACUUUAUCAUGUAGGUAGCCUAUACCCGCACUUUAUCAUGUAGGUAGCCUACACCCGCACUUUAUCAUGUAGGUAGCCUAUACCCGCACUUUAUCAUGUAGGUAGCCUACACCCGCACUUUAUCAUGUAGGUAGCCUAUACCCGCACUUUAUCAUGUAGGUAGCCUAUACCCGCACUUUAUCAUGUAGGUAGCCUAUACCCGCACUUUAUCAUGUAGGUAGCGUAUACCCGCACUUUAUCAUGUAGGUAGCCUAUACCCGCACUUUAUCAUGUAGGUAGCCUAUACCCGCACUUUAUCAUGUAGGUAGCCUAUACCCGCACUUUAUCAUGUAGGUAGCCUAUACCCGCACUUUAUCAUGUAGGUAGCCUAUACCCGCACUUUAUCAUGUAGGUAGCCUACACCCGCACUUUAUCAUGUAGGUAGCCUAUACCCGCACUUUAUCAUGUAGGUAGCCUAUACCCGCACUUUAUCAUGUAGGUAGCCUACACCCGCACUUUAUCAUGUAGGUAGCCUAUACCCGCACUUUAUCAUGUAGGUAGCCUACACCCGCACUUUAUCAUGUAGGUAGCCUAUACCCGCACUUUAUCAUGUAGGUAGCCUACACCCGCACUUUAUCAUGUAGGUAGCCUACACCCGCACUUUAUCAUGUAGGUAGCCUAUACCCGCACUUUAUCAUGUAGGUAGCCUACACCCGCACUUUAUCAUGUAGGUAGCCUAUACCCGCACUUUAUCAUGUAGGUAGCCUACACCCGCACUUUAUCAUGUAGGUAGCCUACACCCGCACUUUAUCAUGUAGGUAGCGUAUACCCGCACUUUAUCAUGUAGGUAGCCUACACCCGCACUUUAUCAUGUAGGUAGCCUACACCCGCACUUUAUCAUGUAGGUAGCCUAUACCCGCACUUUAUCAUGUAGGUAGCCUAUACCCGCACUUUAUCAUGUAGGUAGCGUAUACCCGCACUUUAUCAUGUAGGUAGCGUAUACCCGCACUUUAUCUGCGAGCUGUUUGCAUUUCGCUACUCCUGCAAUAACAUCUGCAAAACACGUGUAUGUGACAAAUGUGACAAAUAAAAUUUGAUUUGAUAGGGCGCACGUGAUGUAUUGUUACAAAGCCAUCAGUAGAGUUGAAAAUGCGAUGGAAACCCAUUUACCUUGUAUUUCUGAUUCGGUACAUGGAAAUGUAUCUGCGCAAGUUAUUUUUAUGUGCGCACAGACUGUUAUUUGCAAGUCAAUUUGAUGGAAACACAUCUCUGGUUGGAAAAUGUGCAUAUAGUUUUUAUGCGGAUUUUAGAAUAUUCACAUGGAAAUCUGUUGCCAAUUGGAUGGAAACCUAGCUAGUGACAGGGUCCUCUGUAGCAUUCUGAGGCCACACACGCACACACACCGAAAUAAAUAGCCUACACACACUAAAUCUGUAUUUUGUUUUAAAGCUAUCAGAUAUCAGAUGUGAACUGUGCUGCAGUGAGGGUUGAGGUUUAUGCAUCAGGGUGUGACUAUAUAGGCAAAUUCACCCCCUACUCCAAGAAGUCCUGGCUGAGUACUGAGUAGGUCUGUGCAGUGGCUGCUGACAUGAAGGUGUAAAUCACUCUUUCAGAAUAACUAAUGGUCUCAAUGCACACUGGGGAUUAACUCCAAAUCCAUUCCUUACCCUGGAAGUCUUACUCAGCCUGAG